rnacentral:lncRNA from 1 species
CCAUUCCCUUAGAGAAGUCCAGAAACUUCUCUAGGUAGAAGUUGCAAGGACAUGUCCAACUGUCUUCUAUGGGCAGCAAUUAAGUAAAAAUUACCGGGGUACUGAGUGCUCCAGUGAAGCCUUAAUGCCCUGAUGAGCCUCACCUGGGCUGCCUCCCUACCUCUCUGCUCCAUUUCAGCUCAGUUCCUCACCCUCUUUUGUUCUUUGAGCCUGGGGCUACCUGUGGGCCUUCCCUUUGUGCCUCACCUGAAGGAUUCAAGUUCAGUAGUCAUGUGCUGGGACUCAAAUCCUAUCAUUCUUUCCUAUGUAAUAUUGCAAAUGUGGAGUUUGCAAGUGACUGCAGGCCCUCCUCAAAGGAUGAGAAAAGUAUUUCUUGUGCCAUGAGGAAAACUCGCUGUGGGGCGAAGUUGCUUUUACUGAAGUCUACUGAUUGACUGGCUAAAAUAAACUGCAGGCUUCAAAGUCA